GGGCUGGGGUUGUGGCUCAGUGGUAAGAGCACUUGCCUAGCAUGUGUGAGGCCCUCGUUUGAUUCUCAGCACCACAUAUAAAUAAAUGAAUAAAAUAAAGGUCCAUAACAUCUAAAAAAAUAAAUUUUAAAAAAGAAAAAGGUUUUAUAUCCUAGUGGCAAAGAACGCUCAAUAAGUAAGGGGGAAGGACUAACUUGUCAAGAACAUGGCUUUCUAAUGAAUGGCAGGUCAUGCUGUCCUCUUCCUGCUCUGAGGGGUUUCCUUAUCCAGAGACAGGAUUAGAAAUCUGAAAAAAAAAAUAAGUGCUAGGACUAUAAUCAAAGUAUGGGCAGAGCUGCAUUCUUUUCUAGGAUCUACGGGAGAAUCUAUUUCCUUGCUUUUUUUUCCCCCUUCUAAAAGCUGCCUGUAUUCUUUAUUCUAGUCCCUUCCUACAUCUUAAAAGCGCGCAUCAUUCUAACCUUCAUUUCUCUUGUCAUUUCUCUCUGACUCUGUCCCUUCUGCCUUCCUCUUACAAGGACCUUUCUUGGGCCUACUCAGGUAAUUCCAGAUACUCUUCCCAUCUGAAAAGAUCCUUAUUGAAAUAUAUCUGCAAAGUCUCUUUCACCAUGUAAGAUAACCUAAGUAUAGUUCUUGGGAUUAAAACUUGCCAUUUGGGAGACAAGACCAUUAUUUCAUCUGCCACUCGUCUUAUUCACAUCAUUUGAUACGUGAACUUUUUGUUCCUUUAAUUUGUUCAUGCAAGGCAUUUUGUCAUUAGAUUUCCCCCCCCUCCCUUUUUUGGUACUGGAGAUUGAACCCAGGGGCGCUUAACCAUUAAGCCAUUGGAUUUCUUAAUGCUCUU
rnacentral:lncRNA from 1 species